AACGAACGCUGGCGGCAUGCCUAACACAUGCAAGUCGAACGAGACCUUCGGGUCUAGUGGCGCACGGGUGCGUAACGCGUGGGAACCUGCCCUUAGGUUCGGAAUAACUCCCCGAAAGGGGUGCUAAUACCGGAUAAUGUCUUCGGACCAAAGAUUUAUCGCCUUUGGAUGGGCCCGCGUUGGAUUAGCUAGUUGGUAGGGUAAAAGCAUACCAAGGCAACGAUCCAUAGCUGGUCUGAGAGGAUGAUCAGCCACACUGGGACUGAGACACGGCCCAGACUCCUACGGGAGGCAGCAGUGGGGAAUAUUGGACAAUGGGCGGAAGCCUGAUCCAGCAAUGACGCGUGAGUGAUGAAGGCCUUAGGGUUGUAAAGCUCUUUUACCCGGGAUGAUAAUGACAGUACCGGGAGAAUAAGCCCCGGCUAACUCCGUG
rnacentral:rRNA from 1 species